rnacentral:rRNA from 1 species
AAUACGGAGGAUGCGAGCGUUAUCCGGAUUUAUUGGGUUUAAAGGGUGCGUAGGUGGUGAUUUAAGUCAGCGGUGAAAGUUUGUGGCUCAACCAUAAAAUUGCCGUUGAAACUGGGUUACUUGAGUGUGUUUGAGGUAGGCGGAAUGCGUGGUGUAGCGGUGAAAUGCAUAGAUAUCACGCAGAACUCCGAUUGCGAAGGCAGCUUACUAAACCAUAACUGACACUGAAGCACGAAAGCGUGGGGAUCAAACAGGAUUAGAUACCCUGGUAGUCCACGCAGUAAACGAUGAUUACUAGGAGUUUGCGAUACAAUGUAAGCUCUACAGCGAAAGCGUUAAGUAAUCCACCUGGGGAGUACGCCGGCAACGGUGAAACUCAAAGGAAUUGACGGGGGCCCGCACAAGCGGAGGAACAUGUGGUUUAAUUCGAUGAUACGCGAGGAACCUUACCCGGGUUUGAACGUAGUUUGACCGGAGUGGAAACACUCUUUCUAGCAAUAGCAAAUUACGAGGUGCUGCAUGGUUGUCGUCAGCUCGUGCCGUGAGGUGUCGGCUUAAGUGCCAUAACGAGCGCAACCCUUAUCACUAGUUACUAACAGGUGAAGCUGAGGACUCUGGUGAGACUGCCAGCGUAAGCUGUGAGGAAGGUGGGGAUGACGUCAAAUCAGCACGGCCCUUACAUCCGGGGCGACACACGUGUUACAAUGGCAUGGACAAAGGGCAGCUACCUGGCGACAGGAUGCUAAUCUCCAAACCAUGUCUCAGUUCGGAUCGGAGUCUGCAACUCGACUCCGUGAAGCUGGAUUCGCUAGUAAUCGCGCAUCAGCCAUGGCGCGGUGAAUACGUUCCCGGGCCUUGUACACACCGCCCGUCAAGCCAUGGGAGCCGGGGGUACCUGAAGUGCGUAACCGCGAGGAGCGCCCUAGGGUAAAACUGGUGACUGGGGCUAAGUCGUAACAAGGUAGCCGUACCGGAAGGUGCGGCUG